UAGCAUAAUAUGGAAACUAAAAGUUCCCAGGGACGGGAUGUGAAUGACGCAUAAAUCAAGAUAACCCAGCCAGCUUUAUAAUUGCAUUCAAACAAAAGUUAGGCGAGUCGCUAAAACUGAAAGAGUCGCAGCAAAUUUAAAACACCAAAAUGUGGAGAGCUGUCAAGUUUAAUUACUCACAGCUGGCUGAUAAACUCAAAAUGCAGAGGAAGUUACAGUAAGGUUGGGAUUUUAAAAAUUUGGUGCACACAACGGCUAACGGCGAAAUCCUAAAAGAAAUCUAUAUAUUGUUCUUAGACGGGGAAAUGUGCUGUGUAAGUGUGCAUUAAUUUGCAGCAGAUAUAGAACUUCAUACUGGUUCAUUGAUGACAAUGAAGAAGGAGGAAGACGAUGGGAAAAAAGUGAAUACACUUGUAUGUGAAAAACAAUUGCAAUCCGAACAAGACUAAAGAAGGACGUUUCAAAUGCUCUUGGAUUAUACUAUUUGUGUCUUUAAACAAUAUUUUACUGAAAAGAGGGAUUGAUAAAAAUUGAAAUUCAAAUAUUGCCAAGUUGUGUUGUGAACUUUAAGCUCCUUUAUAUUCUAUAGUUAUGGGAUUUUACAAGUUUUUGUGAACAAAGGGAUGGUUCUGGAAUUGAUGUUAGAUGAUGUUUGAAAGAAGAUUGUGUUUGAAAUUGAAAUUUCAACUCCCUCAUUAUAUUAAACGUUUUAGAUUUGACUGUGUGCCGAAUCCAGUCAAUCGUAGAAGCAAGUGAUGCAGAGGAAGUGUGGAGUAUAAAUCGACAUCUUGAAUACAUUUUAAGGCAGAGACGUGAAAGCAAGACGUAUUAUUAUAUUUAUUCUUAAACUCUGUAAGCUUUGGCAAAUGUUUUUGUUUAAUUAUUGUUAUAAUAUUGAAGCAAAUUUAACAGAAUUUGUUAGAAACUAACAAAUAAAUUGUACAGUUUA